AAAGAGAAUCACCUGAUGGGGCUUUUUCUGUAGACCUACAUCAUUGGAAACGCCUCACAGAGUAACUAUGUGGUUUCCUUUCCUCAGAGAACUGCGUGUUAGAUCUGCGGGAAAGAGCUACAAGACAGAG
rnacentral:snoRNA from 1 species